rnacentral:rRNA from 1 species
UACGUAGGGUGCGAGCGUUGUCCGGAAUUAUUGGGCGUAAAGAGCUCGUAGGCGGUGUGUCGCGUCGGCCGUGAAAACCUGGGGCUUAACUCUGGGCGUGCGGUCGAUACGGGCAUCACUAGAGUUCGGCAGGGGAGACUGGAAUUCCUGGUGUAGCGGUGAAAUGCGCAGAUAUCAGGAGGAACACCGGUGGCGAAGGCGGGUCCCUGGGCCGUAACUGACGCUGAGGAGCGAAAGCGUGGGGAGCGAACAGG